CCUACGGGAGGCAGCAGUGGGGAAUAUUGCACAAUGGGGGGAACCCUGAUGCAGCAAUGCCGCGUGGGUGAAGAAGCACUCCGGUGCGUAAAGCCCUGUCAGCAGGGAAGAAAAUGACAGUACCUGGACAAGAAGCCCCGGCUAACUACGUGCCAGCAGCCGCGGUAAUACGUAGGGGGCAAGCGUUAUCCGGCUUUAAUGGUGGUAACGGGGGCGCAGGAGGCGUGGCAGGUCAGAUGUGAAAACCCGGGGCCGAACCCCGGGAGUGCAUUUGAUACUGCCAUGAUGGAGUGCCGGAGAGGUAAGCGGAAUUCCUAGUGUAGGGGUGAAAUGCGUAGAUAUUAGGAGGAACACCAGUGGCGGAGGCGGCUUACUGGACGGUAACUGACGCUGAGGCGCGAAAGCGUGGGGAGCAAACAGGAUUAGAUACCCGAGUAGUC
rnacentral:rRNA from 1 species